GGACCCGCACAAGCGGUGGAACAUGUGGUUUAAUUCGAAGCAACGCGAAGAACCUUACCAGGACUUGACAUCUGAGGAACCUUGCAGAAAUGUGAGGGUGCCUUCGGGAACCUCAAGACAGGUGGUGCACGGUUGUCGUCAGCUCGUGUCGUGAGAUGUUGGGUUAAGUCCCGCAACGAGCGCAACCCUCGUUGUCAGUUGCCUGCAAAAGCCUGCUUUUGUAGUGCUCUCUGGCGAGACUGCCGGUGAUAAACCGGAGGAAGGUGGGGAUGACGUCAAAUCAUCAUGCCCCUUAUGUCCUGGGCUACACACGUGUUACAAUGGGUAGGACAGCGAGCAGCCAAUCAGCGAUGAUGAGCAAAUCUCUUAAACCUACUCCCAGUUCGGAUCGUAGUCUGCAACUCGACUACGUGAAGUCGGAAUCGCUAGUAACCGCAGAUCAGCACGCUGCGGUGAAUACGUUCCCGGGUCUU
rnacentral:rRNA from 1 species